ACGCACGCUGGCGGCAUGCCUAAUACCUGCAAGUCGAACGCGAUCUUCGGAUCUAGUGGCGCACGGGUGCGUAACGCGUGGGAAUCUGCCCUUGGGUUCGGAAUAACUUCUGGAAACGGAAGCUAAUACCGGAUGAUGACGUAAGUCCAAAGAUUUAUCGCCCAAGGAUGAGCCCGCGUAGGAUUAGGUAGUUGGUGAGGUAAAGGCUCACCAAGCCGACGAUCCUUAGCUGGUCUGAGAGGAUGAUCAGCCACACUGGGACUGAGACACGGCCCAGACUCCUACGGGAGGCAGCAGUAGGGAAUAUUGGACAAUGGGCGAAAGCCUGAUCCAGCAAUGCCGCGUGAGUGAUGAAGGCCUUAGGGUUGUAAAGCUCUUUUACCCGGGAUGAUAAUGACAGUACCGGGAGAAUAAGCUCCGGCUAACUCCGUG
rnacentral:rRNA from 1 species